AUUGGCCGCGGUGGACCUGGCCCCGUCCCUCGCGGGUAGGGGAGGACCUGCGCAUGCACGUCCCACUGAGGAGGCCAUUCGGGGAAGUUACGUGAUCCGACACACGCUGCCGCCGUACGCCCGGCCGGCUGCGCAGGAUUGCGUCACCUGCCGCGAACCACGGUCUGCGCCUGCGCAGAACACUGUGCAGGCGGCUCUGCGCUUCUCUCUACGCGGCGGGGGCAGGGCCGGCCCACUCCGAAAGUCACGUGACCUGGGAGGCACUCACGCCGUCUCGCGUGGGUCCCUCCCCGUCUCCAGCCCAUGGGCAGUACAGCAGGUGCACCCAGAAGUGGAUCCUGCUGUCACUCCUCAUCUCAGGAGGAUUUCCAGAAGCCAUCUCAGUUCCUGGAGGCUGGGCUCAGCCCCAGCUGCACACGCUGAAUUUAGUCUUUCUCCAGCCUAGGACUCUCCUGCCCUCCCUCACUUGGGGCCCUGACUUCCUCCUGCAAAUGGAUCUCCUCCCUGCAACUUCCCCAAAACUGGUCCCAAGUCUCAGGAUAAUAAGAACAGAAUGUGCUUGAUGGUUACAGAAGUUCCCUUUAGAAAUGCUACCUGAUCAGGUUCCAAGGUAGGAAGUACAUCAGGCUAUUCAAAGAAGCUUUGGAAAACAAGGAAAAAACCACCAAGAGCCCAAUGCAAAACUAACAAAGAACAAAGACAACUCACAUAUGUGUACACAUGGCAGAGACAAGAGAAUACUAUAAAAAACAAUGAUAAACCAAUGAAUACAACAAAUUGACCCGAAGUUAAACAUAACCUGUGAUGUCGCAGAAGUUUGCAUGGGAAAUGCAAUCUCAGGGGCAGUUGGAAUAGAUGUUUAUCUCCAAGUAACGCCCUGUAGCCAUCCUGAGGAAGUGGAGUGAACAACUUAAAAGUAAUUAUGUUAGCGAAAAUUUGGAAACCAUUCACUCGCCCAAAAACAGACAACUGAAUAAUUUAUAAUAUAUCCAUGCACAUUUAAAAAAAUGUUUAAUGGAACUUGUGGUAAUCAUUCCACAAUGUAUAUGUUUAUCAAAUCAUCAUGUACACUUUAAAGAUAGACAAUUUGUCAAUUAUACUUAAAGCUGGAAAACUGUUGAAUUGUUUGAUGCAGUGCUCACUAUAUUAUAAUGAAUAAAGAAGGUACGCUAUUUUACCCAGGAAAUGAUCUGAUUUAAAAGCAAAUCUUUAGAACCGGAUCUGAAGGAACUCGCCACAUCAAGUUCUAAACUGCCCAGGGAGGGGCGGA